rnacentral:rRNA from 1 species
GACGAACGCUGGCGGCGUGCUUAACACAUGCAAGUCGAACGGAAAGGCCCUGCUUUUGUGGGGUGCUCGAGUGGCGAACGGGUGAGUAACACGUGAGUAACCUGCCCUUGACUUUGGGAUAACUUCAGGAAACUGGGGCUAAUACCGGAUAGGAGCUCCUGCUGCAUGGUGGGGGUUGGAAAGUUUCGGCGGUUGGGGAUGGACUCGCGGCUUAUCAGCUUGUUGGUGGGGUAGUGGCUUACCAAGGCUUUGACGGGUAGCCGGCCUGAGAGGGUGACCGGCCACAUUGGGACUGAGGUACGGCCCAGACUCCUACGGGAGGCAGCAGUGGGGAAUAUUGCACAAUGGGCGGAAGCCUGAUGCAGCAACGCCGCGUGCGGGAUGACGGCCUUCGGGUUGUAAACCGCUUUCGCCUGUGACGAGGCGUGAGUGACGGUAAUGGGGAAAGAAGCACCGGCUAACUACGU